UACGUAGGGAGCAAGCGUUGUCCGGAAUCAUUGGGCGUAAAGCGCGCGUAGGCGGUCCUGUAAGUCCGCUGUGAAAGUCAAAGGCUCAACCUUUGAAAGCCGGUGGAUACUGCAGGGCUAGAGUCCGGAAGAGGCGAGUGGAAUUCCUGGUGUAGCGGUGGAAUGCGCAGAUAUCAGGAGGAACACCGAUAGCGAAGGCAGCUCGCUGGGACGGUACUGACGCUAAGGCGCGAAAGCGUGGGGAGCGAACAGG
rnacentral:rRNA from 1 species